AAUGGGAUUAGCCAAAUAGGAAAUGGGUUAGCCCAUUUUGUAAUAAAGCAAGCUUAUUUGGUUCUAAACCAAAUUGACAGCCCAUUUGAAUGAUUUUUGACCCGAAAAAAUUCCACAUGAGUCCGACUCAUGAGAGAUACAAUUAGGUCCAGUUUCGGCUCGAUCCAAGUCCGACUUAGAUCAGAACAAAUACGAAAUUAAAUCCCAAUUAAAUCAUGAUCGAGCCCAAUUACACUAAUUUAGACUCAAUUAAAUCCAAUCUCAACAAUUGAGUCUUGAUCAAGUUCAAUUACAUUAAUUGAAACUUGAUUGACCCGAAAUACAGACUUAAUUAGUUGUUCAUCCAUGAAAUUUAGCAUGUACCUCAUGUUCAGUGCUAGCUGAACAUAGACAGAACCAAAUUCCAAAUGACCCACAAUUUAAUUCUUAAUUAAAUUGGGUCAAGACUUUCUUACUUAGUUUGACUAAUGUGCGUGACUCCGAUAGGUUCGAACACUAAGCCGGUAGUACAUGGACUACUCCAUGCACUAAUCGAGGUGACCAUCUAGCAAUGAUACCCGACGUCCGGAUAGGUCGAAUAUGCAAAGCAACAUUCAAGAACCUAGACGUAUGGUUGUUGCAUAAUUCAUCCCUAUGACCAUCGAUGCUCAAGAUGACCUCAGAGUGGACUGUCGACCUCUGGGUCCGGUCAUCCAUAGUGUAUUUCAUAUAAUCAAAUC
rnacentral:lncRNA from 1 species